AAGGGAGACCUAAUUCAGGUAGGAGACGAAAAAAAAGUAGUCCCUACCAAGAAUCAAUCCCAAAAGGUCGGAGCGAGGCGAAAUUGGCUUUCAAACUAGGUUCUGGGUUCACACAAGACCUGAAUCAGGAACAAGGGCUAUUAGCUCAGGUGGUUAGAGCGCACCCCUGAUAAGGGUGAGGUCCCUGGUUCGAGUCCAGGAUGGCCCACCUGCACAGGUGGCAAAAACAAGAGAAGCGAGGAAUCAGCACCUUAUCUUAUCUAUAUAUAAGAGAGAAUGCUGGCUCUGAGUAAAGAGUCCAGAGGAACCUUGAAAACUGCAUAGAGCUAGGUGAAAAAGCCAAAAAAGAAGACCGCAA
rnacentral:tRNA from 1 species